rnacentral:lncRNA from 1 species
UCUAAUCAAAAUUCAGCGAAAUCCACUAGUUCCGAGGUAGAAUGUUUUGUAAAAUCAGUUUUGUGUGGCAAAAAAAAGUUAAAAGCACGAGUGCAACUUUCUUUUCUUCUAAUGCAGAACAAUUAUUACUGUUCAUGAACUACUUCACAGGAUGCCGAGAAUAUGGAAGCUAUAUAUUUCACACAAUAGAGCAAUUUGCUAUCAUUUAAAAAUAAUCAUAACUAUUUACGAUUCUAUAAACACACAAAAUUGUUGACUUUUUAAAAUGUAAAGCGUGCUGCACGCUGUAUAAUAUAUUGAAAGCGAUUUCUAUUGCCUUUAUAUAACUAACGAACC